CCUACGGGUUGCACCAGUGGGGAAUAUUGGACAAUGGGCGAAAGCCUGAUCCAGCAAUGCCGCGUGUGUGAAGAAGGUCUUCGGAUUGUAAAGCACUUUCAGUAGAGAAGAAAAGCCUAGGGUUAAUACCCCUGAGUCUUGACGUAACCUACAGAAGAAGCACCGGCUAACUCCGUGCCAGCAGCCGCGGUAAUACGGAGGGUGCGAGCGUUAAUCGGAAUUACUGGGCGUAAAGCGCGCGUAGGCGGCUUUGUAAGUCGGAUGUGAAAGCCCUGGGCUUAACCUGGGAAUUGCACUCGAUACUGCAUAACUAGAGUAUGGUAGAGGGAAGUGGAAUUUCCGGUGUAGCGGUGAAAUGCGUAGAUAUCGGAAGGGACACCAGUGGCGAAGGCGACUUCCUGGGCCAAUACUGACGCUGAGGUGCGAAAGCGUGGGGAGCAAACAGGAUUAGAUACCCCCGUAGUC
rnacentral:rRNA from 1 species